rnacentral:lncRNA from 1 species
AUCUCAGCCUCCAGAGUAGCUGGGACUCCAGAUGUGCACCACCACACCUGGCUAUUUUUUUGUUUGUUUGUUUUUUGGUAGAGGUAGGGUCUUGCUCUGUUGCCUAGGCUGGUCUCUAAUUUCUGGGCUCAAGUGAUCCUUCCACCUCCCAAAGUGCUAGGAUUGUAGGCAUAAGGCCCAGCGAUAAAUAUUUACUGAGUGGAUAACUGAACAAAUGGAUGGACACAUCUGUGGGUCAUCAUAUUGACUCUCUUUGUGGUGCCAGAUGUGAUGAGCCACAGGAGUAAAAUAUACUCCAUGAAAGAGAAGGGAGGAUCACGAGAGGGGUUCAAGCACACUCAGCUGAAGCUGCUUCCCCACUCUGGACUAUCCAGGCAGAAUCUUAAUAUUGGUCACAGUGCACAGAGGGUAUUUCCCUCAGUCAAGGAGCUUCCUAUGGGCCCUUCCUAUAGGCCCAGGACCACGCAGUUAUUUAUUAGUCCCUGACUUAUAAGAGCUUGCAGUCUAAGUGAAGAGACAGUGUUACCUCGGAGGAAAUAAUGACAUGAUUUGCAUAAAUCAAUAAAUAAUUGGCCUUAAGUAAUGUAGGAAGAUGUAUAAUUAUAAUGAGUUCAAAGAAAAGAGAGAUGAGUGGGGCUGGAACAGUCCAGAAAGCACCAUUGAAGAAGUGGGAUUUGACUUUGAUGCAGAGAACAGGCAAAUGCUCAUUCACGUGGGGGAAUGUGGGUUAAUUUUCUGAAUCCUGAUCCCACCUGGGGCAUCACAGUGCUAUUUUCCAGAUGCAUGCCCAAGUCCCCUUUCAAUUUUCCAUCCCUGGUCUGCAUGGCAGGCGAGAUUUCCAUCACCAUUAGAGCAGAUGGGGCUUCACAAAGAGCAGUGCAAUUUGAGUGCUGAUGAGGCCAACAGGUUUGAUUCAGAAGGUUGUUAUUGCUGCCAGGCUGUAACUUAGACAUAUAAAUUUGCUGCUUCAAAUGUUCCAUCAGGAGAAUCAGCUGGGGAGCACUAAUCCUAAGUGAAACCGUCUUGAUUACAAUGGAAGAAACGACAACAGCAUAUCGUUUAACUGCUGAACCCUUACAAUGAAACACAAAGCGGCAUUAAAGUUCUCUGCCUGUAAUGCCAUGGUUUAAGCAGUUAAUCUUAUUUUAGCUGAAUGGCAUGUUCAUUACAGCAAAUAAGUAGGUAAUGUGUGGGAUUACUGAAGAGGGAAGAUAAAUUAAACCAGUUAUGGGCAUCAUGUUGAUUUUUUUUAACUGUCUGAUUUAACUUGGUAUUUUUCAACAGCCAGAUCUAAUAAACACUCAUUUAGCAGAGAUUAAGGAGAUGGGACUCUUGCCCAGAAAAGGUAUUAUAUAUGACUUGAGAUGCUAGUUUUAAGGGCAGUAAUUCAUGAUACUCAGCACUGGCUCCAGCCUGGAAUCUUCAGUGCUUUAACACGAGGGGUUCAUGAGUGGCAAAGCAGUGCUUCUCACUUUCCACUAAAUAGUUAUGUUUCUACCAUUUAUACUUUUUAUGGGCAGCUGAAGGACUUUUCUUCAAGGUCUCAAACAUUCUUUUCUGUAGACCUGCUACAAAGACACCUUCUAACAUCAUACAGUGUAGUUCAGGAAUGUAUUUUAUCUUUUCUCAAACAACUGCUACUCUAACUUCAAAAACCAUUCAUUGAACUAUGGGUACAAAGGACAAAGGAGAUAGAGUCCUUGAAUUGGAAGAGAUUACAAUGUAGUCUGGAGAGGAGGAAUAACAAUCACACACAAUAAAGAACAAUAAAGAAGCUGGUAACAGCAUGAGCGGGUACAUAAACAAGUGCCAAAUUACAUAGCCAAUUUGUGCAGUGUAGCCCAUAAGGAAACAGAUGGACAAGUACUUACUGAGCAGCAUGAAAUACUCCAGGUUGGGUAUUGUGCUGUAGGCUUUUUGUAUACUUAAUUUGUGCAAAUUUUUUUUUUUGAGGCAAGUAUUAUGAACUCCCAUUUCACAGGUGUAGAAACCAAGGCUCAGAGAACCAAAUCGCUUACCCAAGUAGGGGGAAAGCCCCAGGUCUGAUUUCAAAGUCCUUGCCUUUUCCUUUAUGGCAAAUUGUUUCUUUAAGAAAUAUGAAGAGUCAGGAGCAGAAGAAAAUCAUGUAAGAUGUCAUGGAAGAAGUGGAAUUGGAUCUGAGUCUGAAUGUACCCUUCAACCCAACUUCAAAGCAGCAAAUACCUUGAUGCAAUCUGUUUGACAGUCAAUUCUGCUUCCAGGAAUUAAGCCUAAAUAAUUAAGAAAAUGUCCCUUUAGAAAGUUUGUAUCCAUUUGCACUCACACCAUAUAUUAUAUAAAUUCAUUGUUCUCAUGCCAAUACCAGACAUUAUCAUUCCUUUUCAAUAUCUGCCAGUCCAUUAGAUGGAAUAUAGUAUCACCAUGUAGCUAUAAUUUGUGUUUCUUUAGUGGGUAGAUAUGAACACCUAUUCAUAUCUUUGCUGCCUAACUUUGUUUUAGAAUUCUCUGUACCUUUUCCUUUGCUGAUUUUUUUUGAGACAAGGUCUCGCUCUGUCUCCUAGGCUGGAGUGCAGUGGCAUGAUCUUGGCUCAUUUCAGCCUUGACCUCUUGGGCUCAAGCAAUCCUCCCACCUUAGCCUCCCAAGUAGUUAGGACUAGAGGCACACGCUACCAUGCCCAGCUAAUUUAUUUUUUUAUUUAUUUUUUGUAGAGAUGGGGUUUUACCAGGUUACCCAGGCUGGUUUUGAACUCCUGAACUCAAGCAAUCCUCCCGCCUCAGCCUCCCAAAUGCUGGGAUUACAGGCAUGAGCCACCAUGCCCUACUUUAUUUUUCUAUAUUUAUUUACCUCUAAAUAAUUUUAUUUUAAAUUUAAUUUUAUAAAUUAAAAUUCAUUUUCAUUAUUGCAUUUAGAACACUUUACACAUUAAGAUCUUUGAAUUGUCAUAUAUGCUGCAUAUUACUUCUAGUUGAUUUUUUUUAACACAAACAAAUCUGAGUCAUUUUCUUUAUAAUUUCUGCAGUAGCAUCCUGGAAAUACAGUUACAGCAAGAGGUAACCUUCAGAGUAGACAGCUGUCUCGAAAUAGUAGCUCAGGUGAAGGGAUAGCCAGGGCAGACUUGUACAACUUCUAAGUAUCUGCAAGGACAAUCCCAGUUGUGCAGACUCAGGGCUCCAAUGAGAUUCAUAGUUGUUAAAAGGACAAGUAACUCCUGA